ACUCCUACGGGAGGCAGCAGUGGGAAUCUUAGACAAUGGGGGCAAGCCCUCGAUCUAGCCAUGCCGCCGUGUCGUGACGAAGGCCCUAGGGAGUCCGUAAAGGCACAUUUCGCCGGGGAAGAUAAUGACGGUACCCGGUAAAGAAGUCCCGGCUAACUCCGUGCCAGCAGCCGCGGUAAUACGGAGGGGACUAGCGUUGUUCGGAAUUACUGGGCGUAAAGCGCGCGUAGGCGGACCAUUAAGUCUGAUGUGAAAGCCUGUGGCUCAACCACAGAAUUGCAUUGGAUACUGGAGAGCUAGAAUCUUGGAGAGGUAAGUGGAAUUUCAUGUGUAGCGGUGGAAUGCGUAGAUAUAUGAAGGAACACCAAUGGCGAAGGCAGCUUACUGGACAAGUAUUGACGCUGAGAUGCGAAAGUGU
rnacentral:rRNA from 1 species